rnacentral:rRNA from 1 species
UACGUAGGUGGCAAGCGUUGUCCGGAUUUACUGGGUGUAAAGGGCGUGCAGCCGGGCUGACAAGUCAGAUGUGAAAUCCCGCGGCUCAACCGCGGAACUGCAUUUGAAACUGUCAGUCUUGAGUACCGGAGAGGUCAUCGGAAUUCCUUGUGCAGCGGUGAAAUGCGUAGAUAUAAGGAAGAACACCAGUGGCGAAGGCGGAUGACUGGACGGCAACUGACGGUGAGGCGCGAAAGCGUGGGGAGCAAACAGG